rnacentral:rRNA from 1 species
GGGUUGUGAGGUUAAGCGACUAAGCGUACACGGUGGAUGCCCUGGCAGUCAGAGGCGAUGAAGGGCGUGCUAAUCUGCGAUAAGCGCCGGUAAGGUGAUAUGAACAGUUAUAACCGGCGAUAACCGAAUGG